GGUGCCAUGGGUGUUAAAAGGUUAUUGAUGGAACCAUUGAUGCCUGUAAAGAAACUUUAUUUUGUAUUUGAUAAACAAGUGAAAAUAAUUAAACUGACAGUUGUGUUUUACAUGUCCUGCUAUUGGGGAAUGAAAAGUUUAAUUAACUGAAGAAAAAAAAAAAAAGUAUUUUUUUUCUGGGCAAUAUCCAUUGAUAUGUCCAAUAGUGUUUUUAGAAAUGAUUUUAGGGUGUGUACAGUAAUCAAUAGAAUAAAAACUGUGACAUCUUGCUCUGGUUUUUAGUACACUGUGAUAUAAUGUUUCAAUUUUGGCUUGAUAUUUAGAUUUUUCUAAAUUUAUUGUGACGUUUUAUCUGGUUACAGAUCGAACAGCCACCAACACAGAACGUCUUUGUGUGGAGACCCAGUUUUUGAGGCCAGCUGUGAUUCUCCCUCUUUAAGGAAAGUAAACAAACCUCUUUCUUACUUUCUUUUUUUUUUCUUCUUUUUUUUUCUGUGACUUGUAUGUGAUUCCCAGCAUUCUGUAAGCAAAUGCUUUCCCAUUUGGGGAAGCGCAGUGCUUUUGAGAGGAAGGUAUUAUCUUAAAUAACUGUGUCUGUGCAGAGCCCGUGUGUUCCCAGGCAGGAAUGGCAAGGAGCCGUCUGAUUUUAAUGGUUUCCACAUGGACUCUCAGAGAGGCCGGCCAAGACUCCAGCACGGGCAGAAAUCUCCAAAUUUAGAAGAAAUAUGAAAAUUGUCAAACGUGGCUUCCUUAGGCUGAGACGGCGGGCCCGGCCCCCUAGCCUGAGCCCUCCCUCCCCAUUACUUCUCAUCCUCACACACCGCGGGUCACAGCUCGGGGUCACGGGGGCUGAUACACCAGCCAAUCAGGGAGCUCGGGAGGUUUUCCCUGACGUGCCGCUCUGAUAGUAAGCCUGCCCCUUGCUUCAUAUAAGGAAAAAGAAAAGUCUUUGCUCCCCAAGCCGACCAUGCUUCAAAAAGGAGCCUCGCACCGGGAACCCCCUUCAGACGGUGGAGCGCACGGCAUCCAUGGGAACAAAGCGGGGACCCCCUCUCUGCAUCCCUACCCAUCCCGACCAACACCAAACAUCCAGCACACUCCUACCCAACCAAAUUGGCCAGGACCAGUGUGACAAUCCUUCUUCUUCAAGACACAGACUGCGAGUCUGCAGGGGGAAACACAACAUGCUGCAGGUUUAAUAGCUGCAGGUCAGACAGGCUGGCUGGCUGACAAACUGAAGAAUUCAUUCAAACCUCCGGUUCUUUUUAUGGGACUGAGUCACUUCCAAUGUAAUCAACAGGACGUAGGAGGUCACAGUCCAUGUUGAUCAAAGAUGCUCGAGUCUUUCCAGUAAUUACAUGUAUUGUGAGGACAGGGGGUACCUGCAACACAAUCCCCUCAGUCGGAUAGCUCUGUGUUACAACACAUUGAUAUUAUUUCAGAUGGAUUGGCUUUCAUUUACCCCUCGUAGUAAGCAUACAGUUACUGAACCCAGACCACCAGCUGACGCUCAAACAACAGGAUGAAAUGUGAUCUUUUCCUGAAGAUGUCCGUGUGUCACAUAGGCUCAUCGAAACCGAUGCAGUAUCUCAUUAAUGCCACAAGGGGGCCACAAGGUUCACUAGGGAGGAACUAUGUGUCAGGUCGUUGCCCGAGGCGUUUACGGGAUAAGCAUAGGGCUAUAAUUAAUUAUAUAUAUGUUCUGAGCUGUCGCAGUUGGUUGUAUGAACCAAAUGUAUAAACAUAUGGUGUAAAAUAUUAACAGUUUUGCAUUAUCGUGUCCCUCAUGUAAAUAUUAACAAUGUGACGUUUACGGUAAUUGAAGACAAAUCAACAAAAAUCCAGAAUAAACAAAAAUUAAUCUUGUCUUGACUUAAUGUGUGUCAUUCGCGGUCACUAAAAAGCAGGAGUGUUUAUUUUAAGGGUGUGUUCUCACUGAUCAACAGGGUGCAGAUGCCCUACAGGAGCCGUGUGUCAUGCUGUAUAUGGACUGACCACUCCCAGCUCAUCCAGUAGUUCUCAAGAGAUUAAUCUGAUGUUUGGAUGAGAUUGAGUCUGAUGUAAAUUCACCGCAUGACACGCAGACAUUUUCAAAUCUUCAGAAGCUUACAUAUACAUAUAAUUUUAUUACUUAUAUCUGAAAAAGUUUGAAUGAGGUGAUAGUAAAAAUUCAGUUGUUACCCUAAAUACAGAACAUAAAUUAUUACAUUCAGUGCUUUUUAAAUUGGUAUAUUUAAGUUGAUUUCAUGAUGCGUUCACAAUGGGAUAUUGAGGAACACAUGAGAGCAUAGAUUACAUCAAUACAGCCUGCGGUCACGUGACGCUUGACUCGUGCUGUCAGGGAUCCACCUCCAUAAAGGGAAGA